rnacentral:lncRNA from 1 species
AGAAACCAGCAAAGGCACACACAUGGGUGCACCGGACCUUCGAUGCUAGAAGGACAAGACGCAACCCCGCUCUGCUUGCUAACAUUCUCGUUCAGGUGAAUGUACUGAUUGUAUAUACAUGAGAUAUUCACAUGUACGCCAGAAAUCCACUAUCAUAAAUAAAACACUUAGUCUACAAAUAGACAUUAGAUAAAAAAGAAGCAAAGUGUAUCGCGGGCUUAUUAAUGUUUUGGCGAAAGAAGAACAGAACAAUUUACAUAUGUACAACAACUUUCGCAUCACAAACCUAAGGCACCUGAGGAGAUAUGGAUGACAACAGCAGCAUGUGACAGUAAUCCACUAAUCACUGCUAUCAUCCAGUACAGAAAUAAAUCUUGAAUCUGCACAAACAAUUGAUGUCAUGAAGUGCAAAAACUAAAGCUUGAAGCUUUGCAAAAUAUCAACUGAUUUAGAGAACUAAUUCGGUAGAUUUAAAACAAUUAUAUGGGACAAUAUUCAGGAGACAUAGUUAUCCAUUCAAUUAAACAAUCACGCAAACAGGGAAGAAAAUACUCAUAUCCAAAGAUCGGCUUCUCUCAACAUUGAGAUUUAAAUGAAUGAGAACCCUUAAAUCUAUGUCUGUAUUUGCUUGUAUUUUCAGAGAUGUGCCCGCAAACUUGUUUAGUCAUCAAUUCAACAGAUAUGCAUUUCCAUUGUAAAAUUAUUCCUUGCAGGGUACACCUGUGCAACUAAUCAAUUCAACAGAUAUGCAUUUCCAUUGUAAAAUUAUUCCUUGCAGGGUACACCUGUGCAACUAACAAGUAUUUCUAAACACCCGCAAAAAACAAGUAUUUCUAUAAAACAAAUAUUACCAUCUUAUUACUAACAGCCACAUCAAUGGCCGAGUUACAGAGCACAAGGGAGGAAGAGUGGUAGGAGAAGGAAACCGAGAGAUUUAUCGAGCCGGCGAGGAAGAAGAUAGAAAGGAUCGCCAACCACCAGUUGGUAAGCUGGCCAUGAAAUUUAUACGCAUAGCAGGAAAAUGACCAUAACAUAUUGGGAGAAAAAAGUACAUAGACAUUUCCAACAUUUACUAGAAGAAAAAUAUACUUUAUAACAUACUCUAAAACAAUGUCUAGAAUUAUGUAUAAUAUCAUUGAUUGUGUUUUUUCUUACCCUCCUAAGGUAAAUAACAGAUUCGUCGCGGUGCUCGAUUAUAACAAAUACAUGCUAGGUGAUGUAUUAUGCAAACAAAAUGUAGUACAUUGCAUCAUCUGUACAAACAAAUACAUGCUAGGUAACAGAUUUUUGUUUUGUUUUGCAUGAUGAGUGGAUUACUGCCACAUCCGGUUUGAAGCAUACAGUUUCAGGUUUGUAUAUACGUGAACCUCAGCUGAAUAUGUCCCUAUAUACGUGAACCUGGUGUAGAAUUUUGAAUGUCCCUAUAUAUGUGGCCCUGGCGUAGGAUUAUCAAACGCCUGUAAACAUACAUAUGCAGGAUUUUGAUUGCCUCGAAUCUCUCUACUCCUUAGGUCGUCCCUUCUAAAUGACAAGGAAAGCUAGUUACAGAUAUGAGAAUAAGAUAGGGUCCAAGUAAAUUUAAUGUUCCCAUUUCGGACUCUCAAAAUGCACAGGUCCAAUAAGAUAAAACUAUUGAUCUAACCUAACAAAGCGUGAGGGGAAGAAAAGAUAAAUUUCAGAGUACCUAAGUUUUUUUUCACUAUGAGUAGAGGAGCGAGGCGUUGGACCUGUGCAACGCAAAGGGCAUAUGCAAUCUUACUAAGUUGAUGAAGGAGUCUUAUAGGUAUUCCUUUUGGAGCUUCACACAGAACUCGAAGUCUUUGUCAUCCAGAAGUACUAUAAAUAUCAUUUGUCAAAGGAGUAACAUGGAUGAUCAAUGAAAUGAGAAAUGAAAUCAGCAUGAAAUAUUACCAUAUAUAGAUCAAUGUUCCCAUCCUUACUCACACUAAAAUGAACGAAUCCCUGACUGCGGCUGUGAAGAGGGUGGAUGUUGGCUUUUACUGGCCAAUUUCAAAGUCAUAGGCAGAAGAAUUUCGAUGAACCACUAAACAAUCAAUGUAAAUUUGGACCUAAAAUAAAGAAACAAAGUAUUUAACCCACUUUCUUUCAUUUCCCAAUGGGCUAUCAUCAGAUAAGGACAAUAAAGACAGCAAUGUAAAUAUGGUAUAGGCAACAAUGACUAUGGAAAAUAAAUAGCAUGGACACGUUUUACUCUAUACAUAAAUAUCCACACUUUAGUGAAAAAGGUAGAC